CCUACGGGAGGCAGCAGUGGGGAAUUUUGGACAAUGGGCGCAAGCCUGAUCCAGCCAUGCCGCGUGAGUGAAGAAGGCCUUCGGGUUGUAAAGCUCUUUCGGCAGGAACGAAAUGGUUCGUGUUAAUACCACGGACUGAUGACGGUACCUGAAGAAGAAGCACCGGCUAACUACGUGCCAGCAGCCGCGGUAAUACGUAGGGUGCAGGCGUUAAUCGGAAUUACUGGGCGUAAAGCGUGCGCAGGCGGUUUCUUAAGUCAGAUGUGAAAGCCCCGGGCUUAACCUGGGAACUGCGUUUGAAACUGGGAGACUUGAGUGUGGCAGAGGGGGGUGGAAUUCCACGUGUAGCAGUGAAAUGCGUAGAUAUGUGGAGGAACACCGAUGGCGAAGGCAGCCCCCUGGGUUAACACUGACGCUCAUGCACGAAAGCGUGGGGAGCAAACAGGAUUAGAUACCCUGGUAGUCCACGCCCUAAACUAUGUCACUGGUUGUCGGGGUAUUGAUUCCUUCGUACGAGACUACGCGUGUAGUGACGCGNGGAGUACGGCGCGAGUAAACGUAACGUAAGUAGUUAGUUAGUCGNGNGAGNGCGCGACGACGACGAGGAGGAGGAG
rnacentral:rRNA from 1 species